GGAAGCCUCGGGUAUCAGAGGACCAUCACUACUGGUAGCAUAUCUGGCUGCUGUUGAUCUUGUUUUUGGAGUAAAACACGGUGGAAGCUGAAUUAGUGAGGAUGACUCCUGCUCCUGUCAUCUCUAAGCUCCUCACACAUCUUUACCUGCACAUGAGGAAAAUCACUCCUGUAGAAUGCAGAUGUUCAGAGGGAGAUGAUUCCACAUCUGGUCCAGCUGAUGGAAGGUCUUGAAGUUCUCUGACUGGCCUCGACUGAAGAUGGUCGUCUCACUGGAUUUAAGGUUCAGAUCCUCAGUAACAAACUCCACCAAUGAGCCAACAGGGAAGCUUUAGGUUUAUUAAAUGUUGCUAUGAAGGUUUCGCUGUUUUUCUUUGUGAAUGCAAUGUGCUCCAACUGAAACUGGAAUUAGAACUUAGAAGUAAAUCCUUCCAUCUGAAAGGAUUUAUUUGCAUUAAUAACCUCAUAACAUUCUAAUUUUUAUUUCAGUCUUGGUUGGAAAUAGAAUCUCUGUAUUGAUUCGGGUAAAAACUGAACUUCACAGCAUGUUGAAGCAAAACAACCAGAUGAAAACUGUGAUGGUGUUGGAUUGUCAGACCGUAAUGUUGCAGCUCAAAGCAGCUUUUCUAGCUCAGUUCAUUCUGACAUUCAGCUAUGAAUCAACACAGCAGAUGGUGAUCCAUGCUGUGGAAGUCUCACAUCUCCUGAUUUAAUGGAGCUGCUUUGCACUUUUUACACUGUUUAUUCACCAACACUUUAUUUAAUAAAAGUCCCAUCUAGUUUUUAUGAGGAAUGUGAUGUUUUAAUUUCUCUGUGAAUAACUGCAGUCUAAUGCAACAGCUGGAGUUGUAACAUCUGUCCUGAUAUUGAUCAUGAAGUAUUGAUCAGAAUACUUAUGGUCAGCAGUCAUCCCUGAAGUUUUACAUUAAAAUCUUUACUUGUGUUGUGAACUUUGGUAAGAAGCAGAAACGUUAGCGUUGCCAUGGAUACAUGAGUGUUAAAUUCUGUCCAUGUUUCCAUUUUGGGAAAUUCAGUCCAGUUCCAGAAUGUGGAGGAAUUUAGUCUCACAAUCACAGACAACAAAUAUUAUCUGAAAGUUGGGUUAUUGUUGUUUAUCAGCACAAUACAAAAAGAGUAAUGUUAGAAAUAUUCCAGUUAAGACUCUAGAAUAUCAUGAUUUAUGUAAAUUUACCUCAAUAAUAUGAAUGUUCAGGUUAAGAUUGUACAGUGAUAUUUAUUAUGUAAGUUUAGCUGAUUAAAGUUUAUGACUCUGCACUAAAAUAUUAUUUAAAUUGACAUUAUUAUAACAUUUAGGGUCAGACCCUACAGUAUUGAGAUUAAGAAAUCAAAUAUUCUAUAAAAUGUAAAUACACUGAACUCAUUUGGAUAUAUUUAAGUGAGACUCUACAAUAUUAUUUGACACAAAUCUAUCUAAAUCAAAAUUUUAAUAAUUUUCAUGCCAAACAUUUACUGGACUGAUUUAAAUAUUAAAAUCACUCCUUUCUAAUCCUCUGCUGUAUGUUCAAACCUGAGGCCUUAAAUAGAAACACACAAGUAUCUGACUGAAGGAACUUCUGCAGAGUCCUGGUUCCAGAACAUGAUGAUAAAAUUAUAGACAAACUUUAACAAAAGCUGCCUGAGAGUUUACAGGUUUUUAUGUUGGAUUUCUUCAGUAAUUUAAUGAGUUAUCAGCAAUAAUCAAGUGUUCAUUUGAUGAACUUCAUUUCCUAAAACAUCCAGAAUUGAAGCUCAUAUCUUUGGCAGCUGUAAAGUUUCUGCUCCUUCAAAGUUCACAACACAAUGAAUUAAUUCCUAAAACACUCAAUGCUGGAGAGCGUUUGUGAUGCUGAAGCAGUGAUCAGUUUUUCUGUUUCUUCUCUGGAGAUGCACAAUGAGGGACGUCUGCAGUGACUGAGAAAGAGUCUCACCACAUCCUGACAUGAGGAAAAAGACUUUAUUGAAGACUACAAUGAGAAAAACUAUCAGACAGCAGACGGCUGCAUUCAAGGUGAGCUCUGAACAUUUGAUCUGGAACAGGAAUUCAAUCACGGCAGCAUGAGCUUCAUUUCAGUCUGUAGCUGCUGAAUUCAUGGAUGAAUCUUCUGGCACUAGAGAAGAAGACCAUCAAACAUCCAUAUCAGCUGAUGGAGGUCCAAGAGUCUUACCAAACAAACAACCUACAGAGUGAAGACCUCAAAUCUGAUUGGACGGCCUCCUAUUCAGCCACAUGCUACAGGAGGAGCCCUACGAGGACGAGCCGGUCCACCUGAUGGCGGCCAGUCGCUGCGGUUCAAAGGCAACACCGACUACGUGGACUUCUACUGGACCACACGGAGGCCUUCAAACCGGACCAACAAGUUCAGCGACUCCCCGACUCGUGGGUCUGAGGACGCCGCCGAGCCUCGGCCCAGCCGGCCGCCUGUCUGUGGGUGUUUGAGUGCUGAGAGGUUUGUGGAUGCAUGUGAACGUGUCUGUGUUGAAACAGCAGCUUUGGACUCACUAACGCCGGGAAAAACCAAGAGCUCCUUCAUCUGUGACUUCCACUAAAAAACUGAAGAAAAUAAGUUUGCCAGGGUUCUGACUGAUAACAGAUUAUUAAAUAAUGAAAAUAAUCGUUCAAAUAUUCCUUUAAGCAAUCCUUUUCGGUCUACAUUUCCUUUACACUGACUUCUUGGUAUAUGUACAAGUAUUUUGGGUGGAAUAUACCAUUAAGCCCAAUGUUCAAGGGUUCUUCUGGGAAUAUACCAUUAAACCAACCUUUUAGGUAAAUGUUCCAGGAUGUUGGGUAGAAUAUACCAUCAGAUCAACCUUUUAGGUCUACAUUGGAAGAUUUUAGAGUAGAAUAUUACUCCAAACCAUCCUUUAGGUCUACAUUUAAGGUGGAAUACUCCUUUACACCAAGAUUUUUUUUGGUCUGCAUUGAAGGAUUUUUUCUAAACCAGCCUUUCGGGUCUAUAUUUGGGGUUUUAGGUGGAAUAUUCCUUUUAACCAGCCCUUCAGGUCUCUUUGAGGAUUUUGGAUGGAAUACUCGGUUAAACCAACAUUUUAGGUGCAUGUCCAAGGAUUUUUGGUGGAAUGUUCCUUUAAGGUGGAUGUUUGAGGACCUUGUAGGUGGAAUACUUCCUGAAACCAACCUUUUAGGUCAACAUUCAAAGAUUUAAGGUGGAAUAUUCCUUUAAACCAACCUAAAUUUCAUGUUUUGACCAUUAUCAAGUGAGAAACCUCAAUCCAGACUCCUCAUAAUGACGUUUGAGAUUUAUGCUGCUGUUAUUUGUUUAGUUCAGACUAAAUGACAGAAAUCCACAACUGUAAUUUUAUUUCAGGACUCGGUUAUUAAAUGUCAAAACAAUCCAUGUGACUCUAAAAACUCAACAGCUGUACAAACUGUACAAAGAUUAAACUCUCCACAAGGAUCCAAAAUAAGUUGGACUUCUACAUGAGAGCUUCAAUUAUUCUUCAUGUACUCCCUGAAAAGUUUGGUCAAUAAAAAAGACAAAAGCUAAUAUUUUCAGCUGAAGUAAAGACAGACUUUGUAAUUUUUCUGCUCACAUGUUGUGUUGUUGUAAACUUACUCUUUCAAAUAAAUAGCCGCCUAACCCCCUGGAAACCAGCGUUUGUCCUGUUUUUGUGUUGCUCCUUGGCGACUCUAGACAGCCGGGUCGUAAUGUUUUUUGAGCAACACACCAUACUAUGACGUUUUUACAAUGAUGGUUCUACUAUGGAACCAGUUUGACAUGUUCAGGUGUUCUUUGUGUGAAAACUCAGAGAUUUCAGGUAUCAGAAGGUGGUUUUCAACUUACUUUGUGAACUUUCUGCUUCAACUUGAAACUAAAUUUCCUUCACUAACCCAGCCCUCUGGACUUCCAGGAAGCUGUGUUCCUAUUGGCUGUCCAGGUGGCUGCUUGGUGUUAUCAGGAACACCUGAGCAGCUCAGUGUCUUCCUGCUUUAUAUAGCUGCAGACAAACAUUUCCUCUGCUUCUCUUCACCAGUGAACCGGGUUUGGCUCCAUUGCUUUAGUUAGUUCUUUAGGCGUUGGCUUGCAGCUUCCAGCAGUAAAACAGACUUUAAU